GCGCCAUUAGCUCAAUUGGAUAGAGCAUCUGUCUUCUACACCGCUGGUCGCAGGUUCGAGCCCUGCAUGGCGCACCA
rnacentral:tRNA from 1 species